AGCCCUCCAAACUUGAAUAUUACAUUGAAACACAUGGUGUAGGCGAUAUAAUGUGUAUAACUACAAUUCUUGAUACUGAUGCAACAGUUGUGUUAUGAUAUUUAUUGUAGAUUAGAAUCUUUCAUUUAAAAGGACGAUAUUACACACGAGAAAGAUAUAUAUUGCUCAAUCGCAGACUAAGAAGACGAGAUUUUAAAUCAUCAAUUUUUGAAAAACUAAAUCGAAGUUUAAAUUAACAAUGCAGACAACUUUCUUACAUAAAGUGUUCAAAGUAACUGUAGUUAUAGUGGUAUUGAGUUGCUGUUCUAGGAAGUCAUCCGCUGUACCCAGUGGCAUGCGAUGUUACAAUCCGCACAGUUGUCUAAAUGGAGGAACUCUUAUAAUGCCAAGAUCUAUAUUCGGGUACUGCCGGUGUCUAUGUACAAGAGACUGGGGAGGACCUAUGUGUGAACUGAAAAGAUAUCCUAGAAUACGUUUUAAAAAACUUAUUAGAAUUAAACAUGCUUUGAAAAAUAUACUUAGUAAGCGAAUGGUGCAAAGCUGAUAAAGAGUAAAAAUAUGAUAUGGUUAAACUGCUGAUACAGGCCCGUGUGCAGAGACGGUAAUAACAAAUUCAGCCAACACUUUACGUGGUUUGAAAGUCCCGCUGGACGUGAUCAGGGACGAAUCGAAAAUUGCAGCGAUGCAAUAACACUCCGAAGUGACAGGAAAUGAAUCCCGAAUGGUUUUACCAUUUACCGUCAUACAUUCUAAUUUCCAUCUUUUAUAAAAUGGAAAAAAAGAUGAAAAAUUCUAUUAAACAUCAAUCUCAGUGGAUUACUCUUCCUGGAAAUUGAUAUGACUAACGUUAACGUUCUAUCGACUGCGAGGGCAUUUUUCAAUACAGAGAUAUUCAAAUCUGAUUUUAUUACUAACAACACUCGGACGGUUUAUGGCUUUAAUAUAAAGGACAAAUUGGUCUCGUUGCACGACGGUCAUUAUCUCUCCAUUCCAAAGAUGAAACUAAUUCUGUCGUGCUGUCAAAUUUAUUAUAUUGUUUUGACACUUGUUCUAUUGAUAUUUUGAUUAUAGUAUUUAUUUUUGUUAACUGGUUGUGUUUUAAAGCUGUAAAUAUUGUAUUUAAUAUUUAUUAUACGCAAUAUUUGAUAUUGCCAAAGUUUAAUUUAUUAAAUAUACUUUUUUAUGUUAUUUUUCUAAA